rnacentral:rRNA from 1 species
AUGUGUUGCUUCUGGACCAUGGGCACGGCGCCGGUCUGCCUCGACCUCAUGGUCGGGCGUCCCAUGGACCACGAGCCCUCUCCGGUGAGGUGCACCGGCGUGAGAACCGAGGCCGACGUUGCUAGCUCGGCCUGUGACAGAGCACCUCCCAUGACCAACGACGAGGCUAAGAUCCUGGAGGCGAAGCUGGCGCAGGUGAGCGAGGAGAACCGGAAGCUGACUGAAAUGAUCGCCUACCUGUACGGCAACCAGGUCUCGCGCCAGAGCCCCGACGGCGAGGGCCAGCAGCGCGCCCGCACGGCCGCGUCGCCGACGCCGCCGGCAGGCAAGAAGAGGAGCCAGGAGAGCAUGGACGCCUCGCAUUCUUGCGAUGUGGAAAUUAGCAACAGGAACGUAGGCACGGGCGAGGCCGAGCAUGUCGAUGUGGACAGCCCGCUGAGCAACGGCACUUGCCGGAGAAUCAAGGUCAAGAAGGUCUGCACCCGGAUCGACCCAUCGGACACGAGCCUCGUGGUGAAAGAUGGGUAUCAAUGGCGGAAGUACGGGCAGAAGGUGACACGGGACAACCCGUCCCCAAGGGCCUACUUCCGAUGCGCCUUCGCGCCUUCCUGCCCUGUCAAGAAGAAGGUGCAGAGGAGCGCGGAGGACAGCUCGGUGGUGGAGGCGACGUACGAGGGCGAGCACAACCACCCGCACCCCACGCGGGCCGGCGAGCUGCCGAGCUACGCGGCGCGGAGCGGCGGCUCGGUGCCGUGCUCCAUCUCCACCAACUCCUCCGGCCCAACAAUCACGCUGGACCUCACCAAGAACGGGGGAGGCGUGCAGGUCUUGGAUGCGGGGGAGGCGCAGCCGGACAUGAAGAAGGUGUGUCGGGCGGUCGCGUCCCCAGAAUUCCAGAGGGCGUUGGUGGAGCAGAUGGCUCGCGAGCUCACCGGCGACCAAAAGUUUACCGACGCGCUCGCCGCGGCGAUCUUGCGGAAGCUGCCGGAUUAUUAG